rnacentral:tRNA from 1 species
CAGAGAAUAGUUUAUUAAAAUAUUAAUUUUGGAGAUUAAUGAUAAGGGCUUACCUUUUCUCUGA